rnacentral:rRNA from 1 species
CCUACGGGCGGCAGCAGUCGAGAAUCAUUCACAAUGGGGGAAACCCUGAUGCUGCGACGCCGCGUGGGGGAAUGAAGGUCUUCGGAUUGUAAACCCCUGUCAUGUGGGAGCAAAUUAAAAAGAUAGUACCACAAGAGGAAGAGCCGGCUAACUCUGUGCAAGCAGCCGCGGUAAUACAGAGGUCUCAAGCGUUGUUCGGAAUCACUGGGCGGAAAGCGUGCGUAGGCUGUUUCGUAAGUCGUGUGUGAAAGGCGCGGGCUCAACCCGCGGACGGCACAUGAUACUGCGAGACUAGAGUAAUGGAGGGGGAACCGGAAUUCUCGGUGUAGCAGUGAAAUGCGUAGAUAUCGAGAGGAACACUCGUGGCGAAGGCGGGUUCCUGGACAUUAACUGACGCUGAGGCACGAAGGCCAGGGGAGCGAAAGGGAUUAGAUACCCUAGUAGUC